rnacentral:siRNA from 1 species
UGGAGUGAUGCCUCUCGACUA